rnacentral:rRNA from 1 species
UACGUAGGGGGCAAGCGUUGUCCGGAUUCAUUGGGCGUAAAGCGCGUGUAGGCGGCUUUGCAAGUCGGGUGUGAAAGCCCUCGGCUCAACCGAGGAAGUGCGCCCGAAACUGCAGAGCUUGAGUACCGGAGAGGAUGGCGGAAUUCCCCAAGUAGAGGUGAAAUGCGUAGAGAUGCGGAGGAACACCGAUGGCGAAGGCAGCCCCCUGGGCCAAUACUGACGCUCAGGCACGAAAGCGUGGGGAGCAAACAGG